rnacentral:rRNA from 1 species
GAUGAACGCUAGCGACAGGCCUAACACAUGCAAGUCGAGGGGCAGCAUGAAAGUAGCUUGCUACUUUUGAUGGCGACCGGCGCACGGGUGCGUAACAGGUGUGCAAUCUGUCCAUAAUCGGGGAAUAGCCCAGCGAAAGUUGGAUUAAUGCUCCAUGUGAGCCGAGGAGGCAUCUCUUUGGUUUGAAACGUAAGGAUUAUGGGUGAGCACGCUUCUGAUUAGGUAGUUGGUGAGGUAACGGCUCACCAAGCCGACGAUCAGUAGGGGUUCUGAGAGGAAGGUCCCCCACAUUGGAACUGAGACACGGUCCAAACUCCUACGGGAGGCAGCAGUGAGGAAUAUUGGUCAAUGGACGCAAGUCUGAACCAGCCAAGUCGCGUGAAGGAUGAAGGUUCUAUGGAUUGUAAACUUCUUUUGUCUGAGGGUAAAAAAGCGGACGUGUCCGUUCUUGCAAGUAUCAGACGAAUAAGCAUCGGCUAACUCCGUGCCAGCCGCCGCAGUAAACA